UGUCUAUAAAUAGCCAUCUCUUAGUCUUUGCAACAUUGUUUUCUCCACCUGCAAACAAAGAAAAAGAAAAUGAGAAGUUGAGAGAGAGAGAGAGUUCAAGAAAGAGAGAAUGAGAAACCUUUGAAGUGAAGCCACAAGAGAGUGUUGAUCAUCAACGGAGCUCGCCAUCGACCACUGCACGCCAAGACCAAGUCGAGCUCGUCCUCACCGUUCACAACAGCAAGAAACCGCCGGAGACCACCAUGCUUUUAAGCUUUGUUUCGGCCGUUUUGGUAAAUCGACGAUAUCUUUUUAACCGUUGCGAAUCUGGUGCAUGCAAAGCCACCAUCGCGUUCCUCUCGUCGAGACGAAUCCGUAGCCACCAGAAUCGCCGCAAUCGGAGCUAGGACGAAGCCGUACGCGCCCUCCAAAGUUUCGCCGGAAAUCGCCUCCGCCACCGCCGGACCACCGCUGCUCCGCCGUAGUUCGCCACCGUCGCCCGCCGGAACACCGCUUCUCCGCUGCCGGACCGCCGUUACCGCCGAUUUGGAGUCUAUUUGAGCAUCUGGAGUUCAUAGAUACCACUUUUAUACAUUUGCUAAGGUGAGACAAGCAUCAAUGUGAUAUUUGGAUGGACUCGGUGCUACUGGACUUUUCCUUCGGAUUUUAUUUUGGGCUUGGGCUGAGAGUAUAGUUAGGUAUAUGGCCUUUUGUAUUAUGUGUUAUGGUUGGUGGCCCGCCGUUCACUAUUUAGUGGAGACUCGUGUCACAUUGUUAUUUGUUGAGGUGUCGGUUGACACGUGGCCAUUUAGUUAGAAAGUGACGGGUGUCACAUUUUUGGUAUCAGAGCGUGGUUCCGUCCCGGUUCCGUCCCGGGAUGGCGGUCAGGGGAUUCGGUUUUCAACGUUUUCAAAUAUUUUAUAUACUCUAUAUUAAUAAUAAAAAGUUUUUGGAAAUUCUUUUAGCACCAUUCUGUCCAGUUAUUACUAACUCAAUUGUCUCUUUUUAUGACGAUGAGUAAAAUCAUCGUCAUUUGUCCUUCGGCUAACAGAGAUCUACCAGAUGUUCAGCAGAUGUGUGAUGUCUUCGUUUGUCAGAUCGCUCAGGAGUUUAUCAGUUUCUUCAGUCAUUACUCCGAGGUUAUCCAGGAGUGGAUAUGUGACGUUUCUGCCACCACCUGAUUUCAAGCCAUCGUCCCACGAGUUUUUGUUACAUGAUUUUUAUGUGAUAUGAGUUUUGAGCCAUUGGUUGGCAUGUGUUGUUCAUGAGUAUGAGUAUUGUGAUUAUUUUGGAGGUAUGUUUGGUUUAUAAACUCGUGGAGAUCGCUUAUGAAUUAAGGUGCGGCAACUUGCGUUGUGUUAAUAUUGGAGUUACACUUGGCAUGCUUGCCAGUUUUUCGUUGUGUUGAUCAUUUCAAAGAUGUGUCAGUUUGGACAACUGGCAUAGGACAUUGGGAGCUAUUUAUAUUCAUCGGAGUUGUACUAGUCGUAUGUGGAGAGGUCGAGUUAUUCAAGAAUCGUCAGAGUUGGAGCUGAGUUUUAUGAUGUCUUUCUUAAGGUGUAUUGGUUAUCAUGGUAUCAAGUACUGUUGAUUUGUCAGAGGGCAAGAGUUCAGAUUCUUAGAGUAGAGGUUGCUAUUAUUGCUUUAUGCUGAGGAGUUAUUGAUGGAGAUGCAAAUGGAUUUUUGGUGACCAUUUCGAUGGUUUAAGAUGAUGGACGACAUUAGUCGCAUGACCUUCUAGUUAUUGCAGAAUAUGAGGAUGUAUUUGAGGUUUUGGGAAGACCAUAAGUGGAUAGAAGAGACGUUUUUGCAAUUGUGUUGGAACCAAUGAUCGCACCGGUUUCACAAGUUCCAUACGGAUUAGUGCCAGCAGAGAUGGCCGAGCUGAAAGGACAAAUGGAAAAUAAAUCAGACCAGAGUUUUACCAGGCCGCGUACUUCACCGUGGAGAGCGCCAAUAUUGAUCGUUAAGAAGAAAUAUGGAGUUUCCAUGAUUUGUAUCGACUGCAGAAGCUUGAACAUGAAGCCAUUAAGGAGAGUUACAGCUUUCGUAUUUUGAUGGGUUAUUGGAUUAAGCUGCAUGGAGAUUCAUUGUUUUCGAAGACUAACUUGGCAUCGGGAUACCAUCAGAUUGUUACAGCUGAAGAGUGUGUACGGAAUACGGUCCUCCGUACAUGUUGUAGAUAUUAAUAGAUUGUAAUGAUAUUAAUUGGGGAGACGAAUGCUUGGAUAACACUCAUGAAACUUAAGAAUAAAUUCUUUUGUGAGCACUUGGAUAAGUGCGUGAUUGUAUUUAUCGACGACACCCUGAUUGAUUGUUGGAGUAUAUAAGAGCAUAUUGAGCAUUUUCGGAUUUAGUAAUUGACGCAGUAAGAUCAAGUCAUUGCAUAAGCAUGGAGUCGGAUGGGAAACUUGGAUAUGGAGCUUUUUGGAAGAACAAUGGAUACUACAGUUGCACGUGAUUGGGAGAUGAGUUGAAGCGGAAACUAGGAAUUUAUUGAGUGCCUACCAGAAUUGUUCUUAUAUUAACUAUGCAGUAUUUGCGUGGAGAUGCGCUAGUAUGAUGCAAAGGAUUACGAUGGAGUCACAUUGGACAUGAUAAAGUUACCUUUGCAGAUUUUAUCCAAGAGUCGACAUGAAGUACUUUGCAAAGGAAGCUAUGGAUAGGAAGAAGAGCGUCAUCGAGCAUGUAAACCAAAGAACCAUGAUUAUCAAGGAAUAUGAGAUUGGGAUCAGUAGACUUUGAAGAUUUUCUAGAGGUGGCAUUUCAGCAGGAGAACUAAUUAGAGAAUUUUGGAUGAGAUGCGAGUAGAGCUUCACACCAGAUGUUGUUACGUCAAUCACUGCAGAUUGAAAGAUUCAGUAGAUAAAGCUACUCAUCAGGAGGUAAGUCUAGAAGAGAGACAAGAACUUCUUUUAUCAGAUUAGACUAAAUCUAAAAGGGCACCAUAGUCCCAUAAGUGAACAGAAAGCCAGUAUGGGAAACCGAGUUAUCUACGUUGCCAUCACCGUCAUAGUGGAAAGUUUACUAAGCUUUAUGUUUGCGGUCAAUCAUCACAUUUUUCGAGGCUAAUCAUUCUAUGCACCGCUUGGAGCUAGCACCAGUGGCAUUUGCGUUAAAGGUUGGAGAUUGUAAUUGUACGUAAAGGAGUUAAGGUUCAUUGGGAUCUAAAAUAUAUAUUCACUCACAAAAAGUUGUACUUUGGACAGUACAUAUGAUUUGAGUUGGUAGCAGUCUACAGUUUGGAUAUCACACGCCAUUUGGUAAGGUCAACCAUGUGGUGAAUGCCUUGAAUAGGCACAAGAGCAAUGUCUUAGGAAACAAGGAAGGUUCAAGAGUUUACUGGAAUACUUGCAAGUUUGGAUUAUGUUUAGUUCAGUAGAGGAGGAUACACCUUAUUUUGAAGCACUAAAUGUGCAGAUUUACUGUGGAGGAUGCACCAAGUAUUUGUUAACGAUAAAGUUAUGGUUAAGUAGAUCAGGUUUGAGAGAUUUGGAUACUCUACAUUUUCGAGCGGGAUGUACUUGUGCUGAAACCGAGUUUCUGUGUCAGACGAUAAGCUGUUAAGAAAAAGAAUCUUACAGCAAGCACACCACUUGCGUUUCCUUAUCUACCCGGAAAAACGUUAAAAAAUUCAAAGGUAUGAAAUGUUAUUAUCAUCGGACUAGUAUGAAAAAAAAAAAAAUGGUUGUAGCUACAUUGCAUCGCAGCACCAUACAUGCCAGAUGACCAUGUAUGAGGAUGAGUUACCUAUCAUUGUUAUGUUGAGCUUGCUUUUAUCAGAGUAGAAACGAGGUUUGGUGGUUACAGAUAUUGUUACUGGAUUGUCGAUCACCACAUGUGACAAGGAUACCACAUGGGUAGUCUUGGAUAGACUCACCAAGUAAGUUUAUUUCUUAGUAAUUAAGGAGACAGACAGAACUGAUCGGUUGUGUUACAUGGAGUUCUCGCCAGCUUUGUAUCAGAUCGGGGAGCGUGGUUUAUGUCUGCAUCUUGGAGAAUUUCUCAGAAGGCGAUUAGGACAACAUUUAUUUGAGUACGAUUUAUCAUCCGCAGUUAAUCAGUCAGAUAUAGAAGACCAUUCAAAUGUUAGUGGAAUUUCUUAGAGCUUGUGUCUCGCAGUGGGAAGGAAGCUCGAGGAUAUCUACCCCUCGCACAUUUCAGUUGCAAUCACAGCUAUCAUUUGACUAUUAGGUGGGCACCAUAUGAAACUCUUUAUGGUAAGUCUCACCGUACACCACUUUUGGACAAAAGUGGGGGAGCAACAAGUUAUAGGACCAUCAAUAGUUCAAAAGAGAGUAGAGCAAUGGAAAUGCUCAAGAGUUCAACCUUACGACUCCCAUGACCGUCAGCGAAAUAUAGUUAAGCGCCGCAAGAAUCUAGAGCUUCAGGUAAGCGAUCGAGUACACCCGAAAUCAGGAAAUUUCAGGGAUGAUCUAAGAUUCAGAUGUUAAAAAGAUUAAACCGGGGUAUUCAAGACCAUAUACUAUUGUGGAGCGGAUUGGAACAGUUGAUUAAAGAUUGGAUUUAUUAAGAAGAGAUAUCAGACUUCUAAGAGGUGGUUCAUAUGUUUGUUUUGAAGAAAAAUCGUGAUAGAGCCAGAGCUCAAUUUACAGCAGCUGAUAGAUGACUUCCGAGAGAUUGUGUGCAUCUUAUUAGCCGGCGGAGAUUAGAGAUCGUCAAAUGAAAGUAUUUAAUGGAUUGUCGACAAUGUAUGUUAGAGUUCAUUAGAAAAGAGAUGAGAUUCAGUAGGAGGCUUCAGAGAUAUGGCAGAUGGAUUAUUCAAAGAUUUUUUUUUACGUUGAUAUUGAGGAGUCAACGGAAGACUCGAAUUCGAGGACGAAUUCCUUAUUAGUGGGGGAGAAUUGUAACGACCCGAAUUUUGGUUUCAGUAUUUGUUAGCAUGCUAACGGCCGUGCAUUUACAUGAGACCCAAAAUUUGUCUAUAAAUAGCCAUCUCUUAGUCUUUGCAACAUUGUUUUCUCCACCUGCAAACAAAGAAAAAGAAAAUGAGAAGUUGAGAGAGAGAGAGAGUUCAAGAAAGAGAGAAUGAGAAACCUUUGAAGUGAAGCCACAAGAGAGUGUUGAUCAUCAACGGAGCUCGCCAUCGACCACUGCACGCCAAGACCAAGUCGAGCUCGUCCUCACCGUUCACAACAGCAAGAAACCGCCGGAGACCACCAUGCUUUUAAGCUUUGUUUCGGCCGUUUUGGUAAAUCGACGAUAUCUUUUUAACCGUUGCGAAUCUGGUGCAUGCAAAGCCACCAUCGCGUUCCUCUCGUCGAGACGAAUCCGUAGCCACCAGAAUCGCCGCAAUCGGAGCUAGGACGAAGCCGUACGCGCCCUCCAAAGUUUCGCCGGAAAUCGCCUCCGCCACCGCCGGACCACCGCUGCUCCGCCGUAGUUCGCCACCGUCGCCCGCCGGAACACCGCUUCUCCGCUGCCGGACCGCCGUUACCGCCGGUAAGCCUCCGCCAUCACCGCCGGUGACUGGCGCCGGUGACUCGCCGGUGACUCGGCCACUCGGCCGAGUCGACUCGGUGAGUCAACUCGGUGACUCGGUCAACCGGUUGGUUUGACUGGUUUAAAUUAAUUGCGAAUCGGUUAGGGUAAACCGGUUGGUUAAAAUUAAUUAGAUUUCGGUUAGGGUAAACCGGUCGAUUUAAUUAAUUAAUUAAUUUAAUUUCGGUUAAGGUUAAACCGGGCGGUCCAAUUGAAAUCGAUUUAGGUUAGACAAAACCGGUCGGUUAUGUCAAAUUGAUUUCUGGUCAAAGUUUGACCGGGUUGACCUUUGACCAGCGGGUUGACUUUUCCGUAGACUUUGACCAGACCCGUUUUCACCCGUUCGAAGGGCGUUCUGACCCGAAAUUUCGCCCUGAUUUCAGAUUUGGAGUCUAUUUGAGCAUCUGGAGUUCAUAGAUACCACUUUUAUACAUUUGCUAAGGUGAGAGCUCUUUCCGAACUUCUCGUACACGACUUAGGAUUUCGAAUAAAUAUAAUUUAUUUUUACUAUGUUCCGUCUGCGUGAAAUCGAGUCUGUCAUUGCUUGUUUAGUUUAGGUUGAUUGCUUAAACCGGAACUAGGGUGUUAGAUGGUUCAACGUUGAUUGCCUCACUUAAUGCAUUUUCUUAGUUAGAACUCUUUAUGACGGAUACAGAGACGUAAUUCUGUAUGCCGGAUUGUGUGGCGGUUACGGCCAGCUAUAGUCGACCGGCUGGUCCGUAACCUGGAAGUGUCGAUAAAACGUCUAAGGGCGGUGUCCGAGCACUAUCUCGAGUGGAGUAUAUUAUUUAUUUUUUUGUUUGCCCUUUAGGGGGCGGCGAGUGCGCGGCUCGCUAGGACCAUUGUUUGAUGUUUGGGUACUUUAGGUACCGUGAUUGUACGUAUUAAGAUUAAAUUAUUUUUAUCCGUAAUGCUAUGUCUAUGUCCAUGAAUUUUCGGGAUUAGCAUCCCAUACCUCACUGAGCGAUUCCCCUAUCGCUCACCCCUCUUUCUUCCCCAUUUCAGGUGAGACAAGCAUCAAUGUGAUAUUUGGAUGGACUCGGUGCUACUGGACUUUUCCUUCGGAUUUUAUUUUGGGCUUGGGCUGAGAGUAUAGUUAGGUAUAUGGCCUUUUGUAUUAUGUGUUAUGGUUGGUGGCCCGCCGUUCACUAUUUAGUGGAGACUCGUGUCACAUUGUUAUUUGUUGAGGUGUCGGUUGACACGUGGCCAUUUAGUUAGAAAGUGACGGGUGUCACAUUUUUGGUAUCAGAGCGUGGUUCCGUCCCGGUUCCGUCCCGGGAUGGCGGUCAGGGGAUUCGGUUUUCAACGUUUUCAAAUAUUUUAUAUACUCUAUAUUAAUAAUAAAAAGUUUUUGGAAAUUCUUUUAGCACCAUUCUGUCCAGUUAUUACUAACUCAAUUGUCUCUUUUUAUGACGAUGAGUAAAAUCAUCGUCAUUUGUCCUUCGGCUAACAGAGAUCUACCAGAUGUUCAGCAGAUGUGUGAUGUCUUCGUUUGUCAGAUCGCUCAGGAGUUUAUCAGUUUCUUCAGUCAUUACUCCGAGGUUAUCCAGGAGUGGAUAUGUGACGUUUCUGCCACCACCUGAUUUCAAGCCAUCGUCCCACGAGUUUUUGUUACAUGAUUUUUAUGUGAUAUGAGUUUUGAGCCAUUGGUUGGCAUGUGUUGUUCAUGAGUAUGAGUAUUGUGAUUAUUUUGGAGGUAUGUUUGGUUUAUAAACUCGUGGAGAUCGCUUAUGAAUUAAGGUGCGGCAACUUGCGUUGUGUUAAUAUUGGAGUUACACUUGGCAUGCUUGCCAGUUUUUCGUUGUGUUGAUCAUUUCAAAGAUGUGUCAGUUUGGACAACUGGCAUAGGACAUUGGGAGCUAUUUAUAUUCAUCGGAGUUGUACUAGUCGUAUGUGGAGAGGUCGAGUUAUUCAAGAAUCGUCAGAGUUGGAGCUGAGUUUUAUGAUGUCUUUCUUAAGGUGUAUUGGUUAUCAUGGUAUCAAGUACUGUUGAUUUGUCAGAGGGCAAGAGUUCAGAUUCUUAGAGUAGAGGUUGCUAUUAUUGCUUUAUGCUGAGGAGUUAUUGAUGGAGAUGCAAAUGGAUUUUUGGUGACCAUUUCGAUGGUUUAAGAUGAUGGACGACAUUAGUCGCAUGACCUUCUAGUUAUUGCAGAAUAUGAGGAUGUAUUUGAGGUUUUGGGAAGACCAUAAGUGGAUAGAAGAGACGUUUUUGCAAUUGUGUUGGAACCAAUGAUCGCACCGGUUUCACAAGUUCCAUACGGAUUAGUGCCAGCAGAGAUGGCCGAGCUGAAAGGACAAAUGGAAAAUAAAUCAGACCAGAGUUUUACCAGGCCGCGUACUUCACCGUGGAGAGCGCCAAUAUUGAUCGUUAAGAAGAAAUAUGGAGUUUCCAUGAUUUGUAUCGACUGCAGAAGCUUGAACAUGAAGCCAUUAAGGAGAGUUACAGCUUUCGUAUUUUGAUGGGUUAUUGGAUUAAGCUGCAUGGAGAUUCAUUGUUUUCGAAGACUAACUUGGCAUCGGGAUACCAUCAGAUUGUUACAGCUGAAGAGUGUGUACGGAAUACGGUCCUCCGUACAUGUUGUAGAUAUUAAUAGAUUGUAAUGAUAUUAAUUGGGGAGACGAAUGCUUGGAUAACACUCAUGAAACUUAAGAAUAAAUUCUUUUGUGAGCACUUGGAUAAGUGCGUGAUUGUAUUUAUCGACGACACCCUGAUUGAUUGUUGGAGUAUAUAAGAGCAUAUUGAGCAUUUUCGGAUUUAGUAAUUGACGCAGUAAGAUCAAGUCAUUGCAUAAGCAUGGAGUCG